rnacentral:rRNA from 1 species
UACGUAGGGGGCAAGCGUUGUCCGGAAUCAUUGGGCGUAAAGAGCGUGUAGGCGGCUCGAUAAGUCCGCUGUGAAAGUCCAGGGCUCAACCCUGGAAGGCCGGUGGAAACUGUCGGGCUAGAGUCCGGAAGAGGCGAGUGGAAUUCCCGGUGUAGCGGUGAAAUGCGUAGAUAUCUGGAGGAAUACCGGUGGCGAAGGCGGCAUCCUGGACCGGCAUUGACGCUGAGGGAGCGAAAGCCAGGGGAGCAAACGGG